rnacentral:rRNA from 1 species
AUGAACGCUAGCUACAGGCUUAACACAUGCAAGUCGAGGGGCAGCAUGGUCUUAGCUUGCUAAGGCCGAUGGCGACCGGCGCACGGGUGAGUAACACGUAUCCAACCUGCCGUCUACUCUUGGACAGCCUUCUGAAAGGAAGAUUAAUACAAGAUGGCAUCAUGAGUCCGCAUGUUCACAUGAUUAAAGGUAUUCCGGUAGACGAUGGGGAUGCGUUCCAUUAGAUAGUAGGCGGGGUAACGGCCCACCUAGUCUUCGAUGGAUAGGGGUUCUGAGAGGAAGGUCCCCCACAUUGGAACUGAGACACGGUCCAAACUCCUACGGGAGGCAGCAGUGAGGAAUAUUGGUCAAUGGGCGAGAGCCUGAACCAGCCAAGUAGCGUGAAGGAUGACUGCCCUAUGGGUUGUAAACUUCUUUUAUAAAGGAAUAAAGUCGGGUAUGGAUACCCGUUUGCAUGUACUUUAUGAAUAAGGAUCGGCUAACUCCGUGCCAGCAGCCGCGGUAAUACGGAGGAUCCGAGCGUUAUCCGGAUUUAUUGGGUUUAAAGGGAGCGUAGAUGGAUGUUUAAGUCAGUUGUGAAAGUUUGCGGCUCAACCGUAAAAUUGCAGUUGAUACUGGAUAUCUUGAGUGCAGUUGAGGCAGGCGGAAUUCGUGGUGUAGCGGUGAAAUGCUUAGAUAUCACGAAGAACUCCGAUUGCGAAGGCAGCCUGCUAAGCUGCAACUGACAUUGAGGCUCGAAAGUGUGGGUAUCAAACAGGAUUAGAUACCCUGGUAGUCCACACGGUAAACGAUGAAUACUCGCUGUUUGCGAUAUACUGCAAGCGGCCAAGCGAAAGCGUUAAGUAUUCCACCUGGGGAGUACGCCGGCAACGGUGAAACUCAAAGGAAUUGACGGGGGCCCGCACAAGCGGAGGAACAUGUGGUUUAAUUCGAUGAUACGCGAGGAACCUUACCCGGGCUUAAAUUGCAGAUGAAUUACGGUGAAAGCCGUAAGCCGCAAGGCAUCUGUGAAGGUGCUGCAUGGUUGUCGUCAGCUCGUGCCGUGAGGUGUCGGCUUAAGUGCCAUAACGAGCGCAACCCUUGUUGUCAGUUACUAACAGGUUCCGCUGAGGACUCUGACAAGACUGCCAUCGUAAGAUGUGAGGAAGGUGGGGAUGACGUCAAAUCAGCACGGCCCUUACGUCCGGGGCUACACACGUGUUACAAUGGGGGGUACAGAGGGCCGCUACCACGCGAGUGGAUGCCAAUCCCCAAAACCUCUCUCAGUUCGGACUGGAGUCUGCAACCCGACUCCACGAAGCUGGAUUCGCUAGUAAUCGGGCAUCAGCCACGGCGCGGUGAAUACGUUCCCGGGCCUUGUACACACCGCCCGUCAAGCCAUGGGAGCCGGGGGUACCUGAAGUGCGUAACCGCGAGGAGCGCCCUAGGGUAAAACUGGUGACUGGGGCU